GCCGAGAUAGCUCAGCAGGUAGAGCAACGGACUGAAAAUCCGUGUGUCCCCAGUUCGAUUCUGGGUCUCGGCA
rnacentral:tRNA from 1 species